rnacentral:rRNA from 1 species
UACGAAGGGGGCUAGCGUUGCUCGGAAUUACUGGGCGUACAGGGCGCGUAGGCGGUUCUAUAAGUCAGGCGUGAAAUUCCUGGGCUUAACCUGGGGGCUGCGCUUGAGACUGUGGGACUUGAGGUCAGAAGAGGGUCGUGGAAUUCCCAGUGUAGAGGUGAAAUUCGUAGAUAUUGGGAAGAACACCGGUGGCGAAGGCGGCGACCUGGUCUGAUACUGACGCUGAGGCGCGACAGCGUGGGGAGCAAACAGG